AGUGAACGCUGGCGGUAGGCCUAACACAUGCAAGUCGAACGGCAGCACAGUAAGAGCUUGCUCUUACGGGUGGCGAGUGGCGGACGAGUGAGGAAUACAUCGGAAUCUACUUUUUCGUGGGGGAUAACGUAGGGAAACUUACGCUAAUACCGCAUACGACCUACGGGUGAAAGCAGGGGAUCUUCGGACCUUGCGCGAUUGAAUGAGCCGAUGUCGGAUUAGCUAGUUGGCGGGGUAAAGGCCCACCAAGGCGACUAUCCGUAGCUGGUCUGAGAGGAUGAUCAGCCACACUGGAACUGAGACACGGUCCAGACUCCUACGGGAGGCAGCAGUGGGGAAUAUUGGACAAUGGGCGCAAGCCUGAUCCAGCCAUACCGCGUGGGUGAAGAAGGCCUUCGGGUUGUAAAGCCCUUUUGUUGGGAAAGAAAAGCAGCAGGUUAAUACCCCGCUGUUCUGACGGUACCCAAAGAAUAAGCACCGGCUAACUUCGUG
rnacentral:rRNA from 1 species